GACUGUUUGGACAACACUGUCAGUUGUAUGGUCUGAUUUUUUGGUGGUGCUGUGUGGAGCCAGGAGUUGGACUCGGUGAUCCUUAUGGGUCCCUUCCAACUUUGGAUAUUCUAUGAUUCUGUGAUUUCUAGGUCUCCACUGAGAACUUGUAGAUUUCCCAUUCACCUCCUCACUCAGCUGCUUCACAUGGUGGCUCAUUGGUUUGAGCAGAGCACUUCUUGUACAGAUGAGGUCAUCAUCACUGCCAACUAAGUCUUGGAGAGAAGCAGCAGGUACUUUGUGCAGCCUGAGACUUCAGUACUCACGUCCUUUUUGAGGUGUUCCAUCUGUGUCAAGAGUUCUGAUGUGCUAAGAACAGUCAAACUAGCUUCUGCUGGGGAUCAUGCACUGUGAUAUACCACCAUCAUUGUUGUGGUAACUCCUGCAGUCCUGUGCAGCCUCAGGAAGAUUCUCCAAGGUUUCUCGUUUUUCCCUCCCAUUCUGCAUUGAUUGCAGAGUUUCUGUUCUCAUACAGUUUGCAUCUUUCCUGGUCAGUGGCACUCCCUAGAUGUUAGUUAAAUAAGAAGCUCAGCACAAUCAUGUUUCCCUCCCCCACACACUAAAUUAUCUGCCUGCCACGCUACUUCUAAUAUUGUUUUUUGGCUGCUGGCCAUGAUGCACUCACCUCCUGAAUACUAAGCCCCUUUUUUUUUUACAUGUCUGCUUAAAUUAUUCCUACAUAUAAGCAAAGGAAAAAAAUCCACAAGUGUGGAAUGAUUUUCAUUUUUCCAUGAACCAGGAACAUUAGAGGAAGAAAUUCUGAAAAAUUCUUCAACAUAUUCAUCACUACUCAAAGUUCUUCAUGAGAUUUGGCGUUCAUAGGAAUAGAUAGAAUAAGGCAGUGGGAGGUUGAUAUGGUGGGUAAGUUUCACUGAAGCCAUUUACACACUCCUGCAAAUGUGCCAAGAUUGUCUUGAGGUUCAUAGUUACAUAUUUUCUUGACAAAAAUAUGUAUUUUUCAGCAAACUCAUUAUAAAUGUACAAGUUUUUUAGCAUUUGAAAGUCCAUUUAUAGUAUUUGUUUACCAAGAUACCCAAUGAAAGAAAAUCUCCAGGAAAACUAUGCCUUCCAAAAUGUGUCUCAUAAGGGCUGUAAAAGUUAUUGCAAGAUAUUCUAAUGUAUCAUUUGAAAUUUAGUAGAUGAUCAAGCAAUUAGGCUGUCAUAAUAUAUAAGCACAAGGGAAUAGUUAGAGUUACACUGGAAAAACUUUGGGAUUUCUGGACUGUAGAAUCAUGCUCUCUACUGCUUUUUAAUGAUUUUUCUUGAGUAAGUGUAGGGUGGCUUUUAAGCAUACAUUAAUAUGUCUUAUUCUAGGUAGAAAAACAACUUUUUAAAAUUCUCUUUAAUUUUCUUACAUUGAAAUAACUUCAGUGUAUUUCUGCAUGUAAUAACAUGAUAUAUUAUAGUAUAAGACUAUUUUCCUUACAGGUUUUACAGAUGCGGUAAGUAAUAUCCAAGUUGCAAUGUUUGAACACUGGCAACAUUAUAUUUGAUUGGAAGUGCCAAUCUCACUGUGCAUUGUACACACUACAUCUCAAAGGGCUGUGUGUU
ensembl:lncRNA